CUCCUACGGGAGGCAGCAGUUAGGAAUAUUGGUCAAUGGGCGAUGGCCUGAACCAGCCAAGUAGCGUGAAGGAUGACUGCCCUAUGGGUUGUAAACUUCUUUUAUAAAGGAAUAAAGUCGGGUAUGCAUACCCGUUUGCAUGUACUUUAUGAAUAAGGAUCGGCUAACUCCGUGCCAGCAGCCGCGGUAAUACGGAGGAUCCGAGCGUUAUCCGGAUUUAUUGGGUUUAAAGGGAGCGUAGAUGGAUGUUUAAGUCAGUUGUGAAAGUUUGCGGCUCAACCGUAAAAUUGCAGUUGAUACUGGAUGUCUUGAGUGCAGUUGAGGCAGGCGGAAUUCGUGGUGUAGCGGUGAAAUGCUUAGAUAUCACGAAGAACUCCGAUUGCGAAGGCAGCCUGCUAAGCUGCAACUGACAUUGAGGCUCGAAAGUGUGGGUAUCAAACAGGAUUAGAUACCCUGGUAGUCCACACGGUAAACGAUGAAUACUCGCUGUUUGCGAUAUACGGCAAGCGGCCAAGCGAAAGCGUUAAGUAUUCCACCUGGGGAGUACGCCGGCAACGGUGAAACUCAAAGGAAUUGACGGGGGCCCGCACAAGCGGAGGAACAUGUGGUUUAAUUCGAUGAUACGCGAGGAACCUUACCCGGGCUUAAAUUGCACUCGAAUGAUCCGGAAACGGUUCAGCUAGCAAUAGCGAGUGUGAAGGUGCUGCAUGGUUGUCGUCAGCUCGUGCCGUGAGGUGUCGGCUUAAGUGCCAUAACGAGCGCAACCCUUGUUGUCAGUUACUCACAGGUGAUGCUGAGGACUCUGACAAAACUGCCAUCGUAAGAUGUGAGGAAGGUGGGGAUGACGUCAAAUCAGCACGGCCCUUACGUCCGGGGCUACACACGUGUUACAAUGGGGGGUACAGAGGGCCGCUACCACGCGAGUGGAUGCCAAUCCCUAAAACCCCUCUCAGUUCGGACUGGAGUCUGCAACCCGACUCCACGAAGCUGGAUUCGCUAGUAAUCGCGCAUCAGCCACGGCGCGGUGAAUACGUUCCCGGGCCUUGUACACACCGC
rnacentral:rRNA from 1 species